AAACUUCUUUAUCACCGAGUGCUUGCACUCACCGAUCAUUAAUUGAGUGGCGAACGGGUGAGUAACACGUGGGCAACCUGCCCAAAAGAGGGGGAUAACACUUGGAAACAGGUGCUAAUACCGCAUAACCAUAGUUACCGCAUGGUAACUAUGUAAAAGGUGGCUAUACUACCGCUUUUGGAUGGGCCCGCGGCGCAUUAGCUAGUUGGUAGGGUAAAGGCUUACCAAGGCAAUGAUGCGUAGCCGAAUUGAGAGGUUGAUCGGCCACAUUGGGACUGAGACACGGCCCAAACUCCUACGGGAGGCAGCAGUAGGGAAUCUUCCACAAUGGGCGAAAGCCUGAUGGAGCAACGCCGCGUGGGUGAAGAAGGUCUUCGGAUCGUAAAACCCUGUUGUUAGAGAAGUAAGUGCGUGAGAGUAACUGUUCACGUUUCGACGGUAUCUAACCAGAAAGCCACGGCUAACUACGUGCCAGCAGCCGCGGUAAUACGUAGGUGGCAAGCGUUAUCCGGAUUUAUUGGGCGUAAAGGGAACGCAGGCGGUCUUUUAAGUCUGAUGUGAAAGCCUUCGGCUUAACCGGAGUAGUGCAUUGGAAACUGGGAGACUUGAGUGCAGAAGAGGAGAGUGGAACUCCAUGUGUAGCGGUGAAAUGCGUAGAUAUAUGGAAGAACACCAGUGGCGAAAGCGGCUCUCUGGUCUGUAACUGACGCUGAGGUUCGAAAGCGUGGGUAGCAAACAGGAUUAGAUACCCUGGUAGUCCACGCCGUANACGAUGAAUGCUAAGUGUUGGAGGGUUUCCGCCCUUNAGUGCUGC
rnacentral:rRNA from 1 species